AUUGAACGCUGGCGGCAGGCCUAACACAUGCAAGUCGAACGAGUGGCGGACGGGUGAGUAAUGUCUGGGAAACUGCCCUAUGGAGGGGGAUAACUACUGGAAACGGUAGCUAAUACCGCAUACCAUUGGAUGUGCCCAGAGGGGAUUAGCUAGUAGGUGGGGUAAUGGCUCACCGAGGCGCCGAUCCCUAGCUGGUCUGAGAGGAUGACCAGACAAAUUGGAACUGAGACACGGUCCAGACUCCUACGGGAGGCAGAAGUGGGGAAUAGUGCACAAUGGGCGCAAGCCUGAUGCAGCCAUGCCGCGUGUAUGAAGAAGGCCUUCGGGGUGUAAAGUACUUUCAGCGAGGAGGCGUUACUCGCAGAAGAAGCACCGGCUAACUCCGUGCCAGCAGCCGCGGUAAUAC
rnacentral:rRNA from 1 species